UUAGAAAACGAAAAUUAGUAUUAAGUAAAUUAUUAUACUUUUUUUUGUUUAAGAAUUGUAAAAAGGAAAAAAAAAUUAGAAAAAGGAAAUUAUUGUCAUAUCGAACUCGAUCGGUUUCUAAUCUCGAUUUUGAUCUUAGAUUAUCACUCUAGCUUGAUCUCGAUCUAUUUCAUAGUUAAUGGAUGGUUGUGUUCGUCUUUGUAUGUAGUGAACCCGGAUCGUUUUCCUUCAAUUGGAGGAAGAAGAUCGCACCACCAAGGAGCUGUUGGUGGUUAUUCUCCUCCUCUUCGCCGGAAUGUCACCGUGCUUCCAGAUAAAGGAAACCUGAAAGAUGCUUCUUGGGAAACUUGAGAUUCUUCGUAUGGAACACGUUUUACUCUGCUUGCAUAUUUUUUUGCUGAACGUUAUAAUGUUGCUUAACGUAUUUUGUGUUGUUAUGCAAUUAUCCCUAAAUACCUACUUUAUACUUCGUGUAAAAUGAUAUUUUAACAGCGGUUGAAAUUUUUAAUUGUUUUUGUUC